GAUGAACGCUGGCGGCGUGCUUAACACAUGCAAGUCGAACGGGAAACCUUUUAUUGAAGCUUCGGCAGAUUUAGAUUGUUUCUAGUGGCGGACGGGUGAGUAACGCGUGGGUAACCUGCCUUAUACAGGGGGAUAACAGUCAGAAAUGAUUGCUAAUACCGCAUAAGCGCACAGAGCUGCAUGGCUCGGUGUGAAAAACUCCGGUGGUAUAAGAUGGACCCGCGUUGGAUUAGCUAGUUGGUGAGGUAACGGCCCACCAAGGCGACGAUCCAUAGCCGGCCUGAGAGGGUGAACGGCCACAUUGGGACUGAGACACGGCCCAGACUCCUACGGGAGGCAGCAGUGGGGAAUAUUGCACAAUGGGGGAAACCCUGAUGCAGCGACGCCGCGUGAAGGAAGAAGUAUCUCGGUAUGUAAACUUCUAUCAGCAGGGAAGAAAAUGACGGUAC
rnacentral:rRNA from 1 species